UUGCUUUAGCAGUACAUGUCCUAAAAUUAGAACCACACAGAGAAGAUUAGCAUGGCCCCUACACAAGGAUGACAUGCAAAUUCAUGAAGCAUUCCAUAUUAAA